CUUUGAAAGGAAAAGGAGCUCAAUGUCUGGUUCUCUUGGCCUCACUGGGCAAGCUGCUUCCUGAAAGUGCUGACCUCAUUUCUUAAGGGGAUAGAUAAGCAUUUAUUCAUAUGAUGGGAUUUCAAGAGGGUGAGAGCAGAGCCCUCGAAGGUGAUUGCAGGGCGCAGAAGAGGUGUCCAAGGGCUUCAAAGACUUCCCUUAAGGCCUGUCCUGCUUACAAGAAAUGCAAUCAGGGGGAGCAGAAUGACGCAGAGGAGUCUGGAAGCUCAGGAUUGCAUUAAGCGACUUUCCCAUACUGUGAGGAGAUGUGGUGGGGACCAUUAACUGUUGGAAGGAUUCCUUUUAAGGAUGCAUUAUAUCAAGAGCUAGAUAUCAGAGCCACUUGGGAGAAAUAAGAAACAGGUGUAGAAACAGUCGCAGAUUGGCAUGAGCUGUGGAGAAAGAGUCUGGAUUCUGGGUUGCUGUGUCACACACAGCCCACUUGCAGGAUGACAGUGGAAGAAUGAGUCAUGAUCUCUGCAAGCGCCCAUCAAGAACAGCCUGAGAGGUCUGGAAAGUGCUCACCCCAGGACCCUUCAUGUCCUUAUUAAAAUUGUAUGGCAGAAAAAAUGAGUCAUAGGUGAAAAACAGGCUCUAUAAAAAGCUUUUCUUGCCUUGGUAUCAGACAUAACAUUUUACUUCAAGGAAGAGCAAUAUAAUAACCUAGUGGUUAAGAGCAUGGGCUUUGGGAUCACGUAGCUCGAAGUGCAGAUCGGACACAGCCAUUUAACUUUGAGCAAUUUGCUUAACCUUUCUUUAGCCUUCAUUUCCUUAUCUGUAAUAGAGCUCUGAAAUAAUACCAACCUCCUAGGGUUGUUCUGAAAAUUAAUGAGAUAAUGCACAAAACAACUUUAAAAAUCUGGUACCAUAUAGUAAAAACUGAAUAAAGAGUGUAGGGUUAUUAUUGCUCUGAUAUCAUUAUCAUUCAUGGAAAAUACAGGAGAAAUAGAAUCCCUCACCUUCUAUGAUUAGAAACAUAUUAUCACUGACAAGAAGCGCAAUUCAAUAUUUAUUAUGAAUUAUAGUACUAAAAUUAAGGUACUAUCUCGGUACUUUUCUCCUAGUAUAGCUCCUUGAUACUCAUAUAUAUGCUACUUAUAUAAUUCAUAUUGUAGAGUAAAAGCAACAAUGUUUAUUGGAGUAAUAAAAAUACCACUAUGCUAGAGGCUGGCAGACUUCACUGAAAUAUACGGUUUGCAAAUUUUCACAUCAGCUCAAAGUAGUAUAUCUCAGAGUAAGCGAUGUUCAGAUGCAUGGAAGUGGUUAUUGGCUUCUGAACAGUGAAUGUCUUGAGCAUCUUGUUUCCUGAGGUUUCCAUAUGGUGAAGUAUCUCUAAGGAGACACCUUUACCACGUAUGUAGGCUUUCACUGGUCUAAAUUUCUACUGUAUAUGACAUAGUUUAGAUAACAGAGGCAGCUCUUCCCUUUAUUUCUGUUUUUUAUUGCAUUUUAAAGAAUGCUGAAGAAAAUAGAGAGUCAUCUGUGAAAAUCUUUUAGAUAAUUUCUAAUCACUCAAUAUCCCUUUUCUAUUAUUAUUUGAGCAUCUCUACGGGAGGUCAUUUUGGCUAAUGAUUUUAUGUUCUAAGAUUCAUCAUCUCUGCUGUCAGAGUGUGAUGAAAAUGCCUAGAAAAGAAUGUAAAAUUUUUUUUAGUAAUAGAGGAUUUAGGGUAAAGUAUCUCCAUUAAAUUUUGACUCUUAAAAAUAUAGCUCAGGCAAAAAUUGAUCUGUUCUUUCUGUUCAGCAAUUUAGAUCUCAUUUUCAUGAAAAUAAGAAGGCUAUUGGAAAGUACCAUACAUGGUAUUACAUUUUUGUAUAAUAUGCACUAUCUCAAUGCAUUACUAUUAGGCAAUUUAUAUUUCUUAGAAAAGCUAUCUGGCCUUGUCUAAUAUUCAUUGAUGAAAUUAAUUUAAUAUAAAAGUUCUGAAUUUUAAAGUCCUUUCCAGAAUUAUUUUUACAGAAAUCAUCUUCAGGACUGCUGUUGUUAUAUCUAUCACAAGAUCAUAUGAUGUAGUUGAGAAUAAGAAGCAUUAGCCUUUGAGAUUAAGCUGCUUGGUCAAUGAGAAGGUCUUACAUAUUUGGAAAUCUGGCUGAAAAUUUCAUGCAGAAUUUCAACUGUUUCUGAUGAGCUUCACCUGGCCCUUUUGGCCGACAAUUCAUCAUGUCUAUUACCUGCAUCAUUCAAAUUUCUUUUGAAGGAGAACAUUGAUAAACGUUUUCAUAACUUAAUAUCCUUGUCAUAGUAGUGGCAGCCAAAAAUCAUUGACCUGAUGAAUAGAAAUAAAUGACUUUAGAAAUAUGUUCAUAUCUGAUAAAGGCUUCAAUGUUGGGCCACUGGCAUUGAAUAGUCUGAUAAUGACAGUGCUCACAGAAAUAUGUAUGUGUAUGUAUAUACAUAUGUGUGUGUACCUCUGUGUUUUCUACUUAACAUAUAUAUAGACAUAUAUAUCUAAAUUUCUAUUGCUUUUUAAACUAUAAUGCCCCCCACAUAAUUAUUGUUGGCCUAUUUCUUUGUCUCCUAGAUCAGUAGUCUUCACAUUUGAUUUUGAUUAAAUAUUUCAUCAAUAAAUUUUUUAAAACAAAUAUCCUUUCUCUUCACAUUUAUUUUACAAAUUAUUUGUAAAACACUAAGAUGUAUGUUAUAAAACAUAGAGGAAGAUAACUUACAAAGGAUAUUUCACUUUUCCUAUUAACACUGCAGAAAAGCUCAUACUUUUUGUCUGUGUGACUUAAAAAUUUUGGAAAUUUUAGUUUUAUACUUCAUAAUAAAUUAUUUCAAAGCUCU
rnacentral:lncRNA from 1 species